UACGUAGGGUGCGAGCGUUAAUCGGAAUUACUGGGCGUAAAGCGUGCGCAGGCGGUUCGUUGUGUCGGUGGUGAAAGCCCCGGGCUUAACCUGGGAACUGCGUCGGAUACUGGAUGGCUUGAAUUCGGGAGAGGGAUGCAGAAUUCCAGGUGUAGCGGUGAAAUGCGUAGAUAUCUGGAGGAAUACCGGUGGCGAAGGCGGCAUCCUGGACCGAGAAUGACGCUGAGGAGCGAAAGCUAGGGGAGCAAACGGG
rnacentral:rRNA from 1 species